GAUGAACGCUGGCGGCGUGCCUAAUACAUGCAAGUCGAGCGACCGGACGAGAAGCUUGCUUCCCUGCUGUUAGCGGCUGACGGGUGAGUAACACGUAGAUCACCUACUUAUAAUACUGGGAUAACUUCGGGAAACCGGAGCUACUACCGCAUAAUAUUUUGAACCGCAUGGUUCAAAAGUGCUAGACGGUCUUGCUGUCUCUUAUAGAUGGAUCCGCGCUGCAUUAGCUAGUUGGUAAGGUAACGGCUUACCAAGGCAACGAUGCAUAGCCGACCUGAGAGGGUGAUCGGCCACACUGGAACUGAGACACGGUCCAGACUCCUACGGGAGGCAGCAGUAGGGAAUCUUCCGCAAUGGGCGAAAGCCUGACGGAGCAACGCCGCGUGAGUGAUGAAGGUCUUCGGAUCGUAAAGCUCUGUUAUUAGGGAAGAACAUAUGUGUAAGUAACUGUGCACAUCUUGACGGUACCUAAUCAGAAAGCCACGGCUAACUACGUG
rnacentral:rRNA from 1 species